rnacentral:rRNA from 1 species
CCUACGGGUGGCAGCAGUGGGGAAUAUUGCACAAUGGGGGAAACCCUGAUGCAGCGACGCCGCGUGAGUGAAGAAGUAAUUCGUUACGUAAAGCUCUAUCAGCAGGGAAGAAACACUGACCUUACGGUCAGCAGACGGUACCUGAGUAAGAAGCCCCGGCUAACUACGUGCCAGCAGCCGCGGUAAUACGUAGGGGGCAAGCGUUAUCCGGAUUUACUGGGUGUAAAGGGAGCGUAAACGGUGCGCCAAGUCUGGAGGGAAAUGCCGCGGCUUAACUGCGGAACUGCUUUGGAAACUGGCGAACUAGAGGGCGGGAGGGGUAUGCGGAAUUCCUAGUGUAGCGGUGAAAUGCGUAGAUAUUAGGAGGAACACCGGUGGCGAAGGCGGCUUACUGGACCGUAACUGACGUUGAGGCUCGAAAGCGUGGGGAGCAAACAGGAUUAGAUACCCCAGUAGUC